rnacentral:rRNA from 1 species
UACAGAGGUCUCAAGCGUUGUUCGGAAUUACUGGGCGUAAAGCGAGUGUAGGCGGUCCGAUAAGUCGGGUGUGAAAGCCCUGGGCUCAACCCAGGAAGUGCACUCGAAACUGCCGGGCUAGAGUAUCGGAGAGGUUGGUGGAAUUCUCGGUGUAGAGGUGAAAUUCGUAGAUAUCGAGAGGAACACCGGUGGCGAAGGCGGCCAACUGGACGAAUACUGACGCUGAGACUCGAAAGCGUGGGGAGCAAACAGG